AGUUUGUAUACAUGUUUAACUUUCUCCGACUUCCUAGGACAUGUUUUAUGCCACUUCUUUUUCUGUCUCAUUUUGUCCCGCCACACUUUUAACGUUGUGCGUGAGUGCACAAAGUUUCGGGAAUUCACCAAAACGUCACCGGGUCCGAGUCUGUUUAGCUGAUUGGAGGGCUAGCGUAUCCAUGACGACGACGACUUCUGUUUUGUUUGAUCGGCUGUUUUACUGCCGUGCUACAGACGGCAGUGGGAAACAAUUAAGGUGAAUGAGUCGCUGGAGAAAAGAAAAAAAAUCACAACCUUUAUCUUGCCUGGCGGCCAUGAUUUAUGCUGCGCUCGUCGGCGGGACGCGAGGGGAAUGGCGAGAGGGAAGACCUCAGGUCAGCAGCUGCGUUUCCUUGAGUCGACUCGAGGACAAAAAUGUCAAAUAAUUGGAACACCUUCCACGCGUCUGCUGAGCGUCCAUGAAGUAGUCACAUGUGGUGGCCUGGCAGAACCAGACUUGUCACGCACCUUGCCUGCCCGCAGAGACUCCUGUGAUGUACUCCACCAAUUAGAGCUGGCUGCUACUUUUAUAGGCACCCACGUACAAUCCAAAAAGUGCCUGACUUCCAUACCUUCCUUGCACGCCACGUCACGGCGGUUGCAGACGGAGCACGGACCCUAACCGUAAACAAUCAGUCAAGCAGCACUGAGAGCAAACUCCCUCCAAGUAAUGUUGACAUUUUCAACACCAACAAAGAAAGUAUGCUCCAACGCAAGUCAAGCACUUUACCAAAAUGCGCUAGCUUGAUGCUAAUUUGCAUUGGAUUCUCCAUAGGCAGGCUACUAUCAGCAUUAGCAAUUUUACAUGGCGUUUUAAAACUCCAAAUUUGGCAAUGAAACCAACAACUAAGAUGAAAGUUACAAUCAAACAGCUGGUGUGU